rnacentral:rRNA from 1 species
GACGAACCGUGCGAACGUUGUUCGGAAUCACUGGGCUUAAAGGGCGCGUAGGCGGGCUGUCAAGUCCGGGGUGAAAUCUUUCGGCUCAACCGGAAAAGUGCCUUGGAUACUGAUGGUCUGGAGGGAGGUAGGGGUAUGUGGAACUUCCGGUGGAGCGGUGAAAUGCGUUGAUAUCGGAAGGAACGCCGGUGGCGAAAGCGGGUCUCUGGACAGUUCCUGACGCUGAGGCACGAAGGCCAGGGGAGCAAACGGG